GAUGAACGCUAGCGGCAGGCCUAAUACAUGCAAGCUGAACGGCAAGAUUGGUAGCAAUACUGAUCCUAGAGUAGCGUAAGGGUGCGUAACACGUAUGCAAUCUACCCGCAACAGGAGGAUAGCUCUCCGAAAGGGGAAUUAAGACUCCAUAAUAUCAUUUGAGGGCAUCUGGAGAUGAUUAAACUACAAGGGGUUGCGGAUGAGCAUGCGUCUGAUUAGUUAGUUGGCGGGUAACGGCCCACCAAGACAAUGAUCAGUAGGGGAACUGAGAGGUUGGUCCCCCACACUGGCACUGAGAUAC
rnacentral:rRNA from 1 species